ACCAGCGACGGUUAGGAAAGUAGACGACGGAGAGCCAAGAGCUCUUUGUAAGUUUUUCAAUUAUUUUUAUCAUUCACGAUUUGAUUUUCAGUAUAAAAUUAAAAUAGCUAUAACUUUAAUUUUUAGGAUCGUAUGAUAGACAUCAGAUCCUAGCCUAUCCCUGAGGGCUUGACCGCACCCACAGAUGAUGAGAUCUGUGAUCAAGUGCUUGGUACAAGAAUCUAUUAUGUUAAAGGUCUAGGGCAUGAGAUCACUGCUCCCUC
rnacentral:lncRNA from 1 species